GGUUCAGGAUAGCACAUUUCGUCGAGGACUAGCAUUGGAUUUGCAUCUUCCAAACUGUAGGUUCACAGUCUUUCUUACUUUUGGUUAUUCGAGGGCCCACUUGUUACUAUCAAUUAAAUUAAAUACUCUGGUUUACUGUAUUACAGUAUAUAUCAAUUUAUUUUGCUUUUACACUGUAAAAAAUUAUUUACGCAGUGUUCUACAAAUAUUAUUUUAUGAGAAAAUUAAAUAUUUUAUUAAAUAUUUUUAUUUUAUUCUAAUAGUCAUAAUUUCAUUUUAAACAAAUAUUUUAGACAUCCAAAUUUAUUUUUGAUUAUGAAAUAUGUGUUUUGCACCCAUAUACUACAUUAUUAGCUAGUUUCAAAAUUUUCAGGAAAAAAUGACUAAAAUACCCCUAUGAGACAAAAAUUAUUUUUUUAUUAUUUUGGUUUGGAAAUAGUUUAAAAUCUUUUAGAACGUGAUAUUUGGCAACGGUUACUCACAGGGAAAAUGAGAAACUGAUAUUAAAGCCUUGUGGGGUUUCGGUUGGCAUUACGGGUAAUGAGUGUCUAUCGAGACACAACGACGGUUGUCACGGGCUCGAGGGGAGUGCUGAGUCGUGACAUUUAUCAAGCACGGUAGAGGUUUUGGUGCAAGGGAUGAACUACCACCAAUAGUAGAGUGCUCAUGAGCUUCAAACCUAUGAAUGAUGCUAGCAUCUAAAGGAACUCGUGAUGCAAAAGCUCUUCAUUGCUAGUCCAUUGGACGUCAGCUUGCUUGCAUAGUGUUGUACCACAAGCCAUCUUUAACUAAACAAAGCAGUAUACAUGAUAUUAUUAAAAAUCAAUUGACCAAUAUUAAAUAGUUUAGAUGGUGUCUGUUUACUCACUGAGAUUUUAUAAUCUCACCACCCUCAUUUCCUCGCAUUUCAGGCUCGGGGAAUUCCAUAGUUAGCUGACUUUGACAAGGACCUUCAUUUGGACUUGAAUCGGCAAAAGCUGUAGGUUUUUAGCUUCCGAUACAUUUUGGUUAGAUGUGGGCC
rnacentral:lncRNA from 1 species